rnacentral:tRNA from 1 species
AGAACAUAGCUUAAUAAAAGCACUUCGCUUACACCGAACUGAAGUCCGUUUAACCCAGACUGUUCUGAG